rnacentral:lncRNA from 1 species
AGCAAUUGGCUGGGGUGUUUUUCCGCUCUGUGGGAGAUUUGUUCUUUCGCUUUUUGGGUCCACGCUGCGUUUGUGAGCUGUAACACCGUGAAGGUCUGCAGCUUCACUCCUGAAGUCAGGCGAGAAGACUACGAACCCACCUGGAGGAACGAACAACUCCAGACUCGCCGCAUUAAGAGCGGUAACACCGCGAAGGUCUGCAGCUUCACUCCUGAGCCAGCGAGAUCACGAACCCACCGGAAGGCUGUAACAUAUCUGAACAUCAGAAGGAACAAACUCCGGACAGGCCGCCUUCAGGAACUGUAACACUCACCGCGAGGGUCCGUAGCUUCAUUCUUGAAGUCAGUGAGACCAAGAGCCCACCAAUUCCGGACACAACAGGACACACUGCGGCUUCUCCUGGCUUUUUCAAAGUUCAGCCCAAGAGGAAGAGAGACCUAAUUAAUACCCAGGAGAUGGUGGUGUUUAUUUUUUCCAGCUGGGACAACUAAGGCCCCGAGAGGAGAAAGGGACUAUCCGGGGUACAGAGGCCACUGAGUCAGAGCUAGGACCAACAUAUCACCAGCUCUCCCUCUUCAGCGCAGACCCCAACUCACCAGCGGUGGCUUCCUGAAGAGCUGGGUUAAGGAGGAUUCUGAGGUGCAGCAGAGCUCGCUAAGAGGCUGACGGGUAAGGGGUGCUGCGCUGUGAGCACAGGAGCCAGGUGGGUGUUGCCUGCCAUCCCCUCUACCUCUCCCUCUUCUCUCUGCCACCUCGGUUUUUCUCCAUCCUUUCACUCACCCCCGACCCGCCAUUGUUUCACCUGCCUGGAAAUGGCACCCUUCGUUGAGAGUAAGGAUAGGGCCUCUGCUGUGCCCAGGCCACGUUUCUGGGCCUCUUUUUUCCUCUCCCAGGUCUGAAGGGGCCUCAGUUUGGGGUUCUUAAGGGCCCAGAGACCUGUGAACAGUUGCUCCCUCCCCUACUUAGUGGCCCACGUGGAACUCAAGAGUAUCCCGCUCCGUGGCUGUUCAGAAAUGCAGCAGCACAGCCCCCAGGCAGCAAUCGUUCAGGAGCGCUGGGAAGCCCACAGCCAGCCUGAGCCCUCCGAGAUGCCUCUAGACUCUGGGCCCGGGAUCAAUACUUG